rnacentral:rRNA from 1 species
UACGUAGGGAGCAAGCGUUGUCCGGAAUCAUUGGGCGUAAAGCGCGCGUAGGUGGCCCGGUAAGUCCGCUCUGAAAGUCACAGACUCAACCUGUGAAAGCGGGUGGAUACUGCCGGGCUAGAGUCCGGAAGAGGCGAGUGGAAUUCCUGGUGUAGCGGUGGAAUGCGCAGAUAUCAGGAGGAACACCAACGGCGAAGGCAGCUCGCUGGGACGGUACUGACACUGAGGCGCGAAAGCGUGGGGAGCGAACAGG